GAUGAACGCUGGCGGCGUGCCUAAUACAUGCAAGUCGAGCGAACGGACGAGAAGCUUGCUUCUCUGAUGUUAGCGGCGGACGGGUGAGUAACACGUGGAUAACCUACCUAUAAGACUGGGAUAACUUCGGGAAACCGGAGCUAAUACCGGAUGAUAUUUUGAACCGCAUGGUUCAAAAGUGAAAGACGGUCUUGCUGUCACUUAUAGAUGGAUCCGCGCUGCAUUAGCUAGUUGGGAAGGUAACGGCUUACCAAGGCAACGAUGCAUAGCCGACCUGAGAGGGUGAUCGGCCACACUGGAACUGAGGCACGGUCCAGACUCCUACGGGAGGCAGCAGUAGGGAAUCUUCCGCAAUGGGCGAAAGCCUGACGGAGCAACGCCGCGUGAGUGAUGAAGGUCUUCGGAUCGUAAAACUCUGUUAUUAGGGAAGAACAUAUGUGUAAGUAACUGUGCACAUCUUGACGGUACCUAAUCAGAAAGCCACGGCUAACUACGUG
rnacentral:rRNA from 1 species